ACCAUCUUGAAAAUUCCAACCACCUACAAACAAAAAGUAUUAGCCUAAACCUUUGCUUAAAGAAAAGAAAACAUAGAAUAAAGUUGAAUAUUUAAGUCAUGUUUUACAAACUUAACUUUACACUUUAUGGUGAUUGUUCAUAGAUAUUAAAAUUAUAAUGCCAUAUUCUCAAGUCUCCACCUAAGCACUUGCAUGUAUACAUACAUCCUCUAGCCCAAAUUAAGAUUUUUAAGUUUUUUAAUUUUUUUUCUAUAUGCAUAUAAAUAAGAGAGUUGCGGAGAUGAA
rnacentral:misc_RNA from 1 species